CAUUUCUCACCCACUGCACUGAAGACUGAAUCCUGGUAUCCUGUGCAGCCCCUAACUCCCCCACACAAAUAUUCGCGGAGGGCAGACCGCAAGGAGCACGUGCUUCUUCUGCUGGCUCAGGCUAUUUCAUUCGCAAACGUAACCAAAGCAAAGUUUGCACUCAGAACCAAUCCGAGAAGACGUACCCACCGUCCGCCAUUUCGCAGUCCUCUGUGGAGAAGCCCAACUUCAUUCUCAUACAAAAGACAACCUAGCAGCCAGAAUGCCGACGGAAACCACUGUGCUCGUGGAAACGGAGCCCGCCGCUACCCAAACGGUGCUGGUGUGCCCGUGUUGUGCCAAUCCCAUCUGUGCGGCGCUCUGCUGCUGGCUGGACUGCCUAUGCCAGUGUCUGUGUGCGGCUGCCAGGUAGAACACGGAUAUCCUGGACAUACAUGUACAUGUAGUAUGUCAAAAUUUCCCUGGCGAUGCUAGAUGAAAAGUAAUAUCUCGUGCUGAUGUGAAGGCUGUGUGCAUUAUACAGAACAAUGGAGUAAUUUACGCGUAUUAUCCUUCCAAGCAGAACUCAGUUCACGGUGUCGGUGUUUUCUGUGGCCUAAUUUAGGCGAGUAACAAACGUGGUGAAAAGGCUGCCGUUCUCCACAGAACAGGUUUAUUUAUGUGUUUUAGAGUAUAUCUGCCCUACACGCACAUGGAAAACAUUCUAUUCAACGCGUGCCAGCACCCCUUGUAAUGGUCUGCAGUGAUAAAAUAAACUGGCUCUUUACUAAUCGCUUUUCACUAGCAAAACUGGUGGAAUAUGCACUUUUUACAACUAUAAUUUUGCCUCCUCUCUGCUGAGAAUUAUAUUGAUGGUUAAAGGAGAAUACGAUGCCACUUACUGUAGUGAGUACGCUAAGGUUAUUAUGACACCUCAGAUCUUCGGGAUUAAAUUUUAAUAAAAGUGGAAGUACAUGUA